GUGUAAAAUGUACACCACUCCAGCUUUUAAAUAUCUAAUAUGGAGGAUGGAAACACGCAUAUGUACACAGGGAAGGCUUCUAGGGAAAGGGAUAUGCAGUGAUAAAACGUACAAAAGGCUUUCAUGAUAGAGGCCCCAAUAUGACGUCAUUUAAUUGUAUAACUGCGUAAAUUACAUAACCUAAACUUUAUGAAGCUUAAACAAUUGUUUUAGUAUUUUAAUUUCUAUUUUUGUGAGGUAGUAAAGCUGUUUUUGUUUUAAUGAUAAUGGUGUGAGUUAAUCACGGGGAUGGAUACCGAUACUGCCACAAGAGGAUGUGCUAUAUAUAAAAGACUGUUCAUUUGUGGUUGGUCAAAAAAGGAGGAUACCUUCAAAGACAAGUAUAAUGAUGUUGUCCUUGAUGAGAUACAGUCAGUGGGCCAAACGUGUAGCUUCAGUGGCUCCGAUAUCACCGACUUCUCCCUCGAUACGGAUGUCCCUACAAACUACCACCACCACCAUGGAGGCCACCAUCAUGGCAUGGGCAAACAUCCCAGCACCGACCCAGUGUUUGAAUCUACAUUACCGACCAUCAGUAGUCAGUACUCCAGUGAACAGAGAGAAUAAUACCCACACUGAAGAAUCAGAAGAUCAGCAAAACAUUGUAAUACACCAGUGGAAUACGAGAUUGGUUAUGACAUAAGUGCAGAAACUGCCAUUUGUAUACUCAUAUUAGCUAUUACAAUUAAAGUUUCUUCCUUUCUACACAUAAAGCAAAGCAUUGUAAUAAACGAGUGGAAUACCAGAUUGGUUAUGACAUCAGUGCAAGAACUGCCAUUUGUAUACUCAUAUUAGCUAUUACAAUUAAAGUUUCUUCCUUUCCACACAUAAAGCAAAGCAUUGUAAUACACCAGUGGAAUACCAGAUUGGUUAUGACAUCAGUGCAAGAACUGCCAUUUGUAUACUCAUAUUAGCUAUUACAAUUAAAGUUUCUUCCUUUCCACACAUAAAGCAAAGCAUUGUAAUACACCAGUGGAAUACCAGAUUAGAACUGCCAUUUGUAUACUCAUAUUAGCUAUUACAAUUAAAGUUUCUUCCUUUCCACACAUAAAGCAAAGCAUUGUAAUACACCAGUGGAAUACCAGAUUAGAACUGCCAUUUGUAUACUCAUAUUAGCUAUUACAAUUAAAGUUUCUUCCUUUCUACACAUAAAGCAAAGCAUUGUAAUACACCAGUGGAAUACCAGAUUGGUUAUGACAUCAGAGCAAGAACUGCCAUUUGUAUACUCAUAUUAGCUAUUACAAUUAAAGUUUCUUCUUUUCUACACAUAAAGCAAAGCAUUGUAAUAAACGAGUGGAAUACCA